rnacentral:misc_RNA from 1 species
CGACACUACUGAUAAUUGAUACACGACAGUGAAGGCGAAGCCUAACAAUCACGGCACAAAGCCAACCCACCUUCUGUAAAAAUAUACUUCCGUACUUCGGACGUCUAGCCUUUUUCUCCUUUUCUCACCGCCUCCACUUUCCUCAGACUUUACAAAUAUCCCUCUCUCUCUCAUGCACCUUGCCUAACUCAUCAAUGGCGCCUUUUGUUAUACGGUCUCUUGUUAACCUUCCGGGCCAAAUCGCCGUUAAACACUUGCCAACUGAUCAAUUUCCCAGAAUUGAAAUCAAAUUGCCGCUGAUUUUGGUUAAACCGCGACAUAAUACGAUUGUUUUGGCCUCUCUUCAUGGAGAAAACGAGAGAGCAAUCGAGGCUGACGGGAAGAACACUCAGGCUGCUCUUCAAUUGCAGGAUUCUCCUUACGACGUCGUUUCCAGAGAUGCGCUUCCGAGUAGAGUUGCCCUUUCUUUAUUGUUUGAUUAUACAACAAAACGAUUUUGUAUCUUUGAAAAAUUUUUUUUUUGGUUUUUUUAUUAGGGCCGUUAUCGUCUUCUCAAUCCUCCAGUUCGGUCUCUGAUGGGUCACGUCUUCGCGUUGCUUACCAGGGAGUUCGUGGCGCGUACAGCGAAUCAGCGGCUGAGAAAGCCUAUCCGAAUUGCGAAGCAGUACCGUGUGAGCAAUUUGACGCGGCUUUUGAGAGAACGUUCCCUAGAAUUGGAAAAAUGUUUGGAGGCAGCUGCUAGGUGAGAAAACAAAUCUUUUGUUGGACGAAAUGCUUGCUUCUGCUCAACUUAGGGAUUUCAAAGCAAUCCAAGCAUGCUAUCUAUGUUUUGAACGGCUGUUGAACGAUGGCUUGUGGACAGAGCAGUGUUGCCCAUUGAGAAUUCCUUAGGUGGGAGCAUCCACAGAAAUUAUGACCUUUUGCUCCGUCAUAGACUGCAUAUAGUAGGGGAAGUGAAAUAUGCUGUUCGCCAUUGCUUACUAGCCAAUCAUGGUGUUAAAGUUGAAGACUUGAAGAGGGUCCUAAGUCAUCCGCAGGCCCUUGCUCAAUGUGAGCAUACAUUAACAAGUUUGGGAUUGGUUAGAGAAGCAGUGGAUGAUACUGCUGGUGCAGCAAAGGUAGGCCUUAAUUUGGUAGUUGGUUAGCCCAUUUCUCUUCUCAUGUGAGUUUUAGAGACUUGAUUUCAUUUGCAGUCACUAAACUUGUCUCUAGUGUUCAUUAAAGUCUUUAAAUUUAAUUUCUCUUAAAAAAAAAUCAGUUAAUCACUGGGACAAAAUUUCAGCCAAAUUCAAUCUAUAAGUUUGACGUGGAAAACAGUUUGGACUUUCCAAAUAUGUUUUACAUAUAAAGGGAGUUAUUCAAAACAACUCUCUAAAAGACAUGAACAAAAAACUUGUGUACAGAGAGAGUGGUAAAUAGAAAAGAUGAAGAUCUUUUCAUCUCAUAUCUUUACCCGUAAAGAGAGAAGGGAGGAAAGAAAGAAAAGGUCUACUAACGAGUCCACUAUUGGUUUAAAUUUGGUUGGAUAUUGGUCCUAGUGUUUUGAUUGUUACAAAAAUCAAGGUUGAGUGAUUUUUAAGAGAAAUUGAAACUUUGUAUGAUGGGAGUAUUUGUGGUGCAUUCUAAGAACGGUCUUAUGCAUUUCUAGGAUUGCUGGGAACCACUUUUAGUAGCAAACUACGAGGAAGCUCAUGGGUCAACCCUGUGUAGUUAAUUCUCUUGUUUAGUGUGAUCAGAUAUUGGAGUCUUGGUUUCAGAUGAUUACAUUUUAUGAAUUACGGCCAUUCAUGGCCUUUGAGUUGUUGCAAUUAAAUGAUUUACUCUAAUCAUGUAGCAUGUUGCGCUUCACAAACUGAAAGACACAGGAGCUGUUGCUAGUUCUGUGGCUGCAAAGAUUUAUGGGUUGAAUAUAUUAGCUGAAGAUAUUCAGGAUGAUUGUGAUAAUGUUACUCGGUUUCUGAUGCUAGCCAGGGAGCCAAUAAUUCCAGGAACGGACAGGCCAUUCAAGGUUUUUCCUUUCAUAAUACUAAGUACUGGUUAUUAAGAUCUUGAUAUCAAUAUUGUUACUUCUAUUGCUGAGUUUUACUUAUGAAUGCGGUUCUUGAGAUCUCAGACGAGCAUUGUUUUUUCACUUGAGGAGGGUCCUGGAGUGCUAUUCAAAGCACUUGCUGUUUUUGCUUUGCGGCAAAUCAACCUUACUAAGAUUGAGAGUCGUCCAUUGCGGAAUCAGCCCUUGAGAGCAUCUGAUGAUAGCGACAAUGGGUUUCCAAAAUACUUUGACUAUCUUUUCUAUGUGGAUUUUGAGGCAUCAAUGGCCGACCAGAAUGCACAGAAUGCCCUCAAGCACCUGAAGGAGUUUGCGACUUUCUUACGAGUUUUGGGGAGUUAUCCAGUGGAUUCUAGCAUGAUAUAAAUGAUCCUCUAACACGGUAACAACCCAAUAUCUAUGUUCCUCUUAACUGUUGACUAGCAGAUAAAUUGUUAGGCUUGUGUAAGGUGGUUCUGUGGUCAAAGCAAAGCUCUCUCUUUUAAUAAAUUAUGGAGACAAUUAUAUAAAUUAUUUAAAAUUUGUACAGUCCCACAUCGUUCUGCAUAAUCUGCACAACCACUUAGCAAGCUUCCUUUGUCACAUAUUAUCUGAGGAACUGAUUUGGAGUUUGGACUAAUGUCUUCAAUGACCGUAGCUAAGGGUUGCUGAUAUGGUCUCUUAAUUUCAGUUGGCCCUAUUCAUAUGAUGUUAAUUGUUGAUUUCAACCCCCCAGGCCAUUCAAAUUUCUCUGGCCUUUUAUUCUCUUUUACCCAUUUCUAUGAGUGCUAGGUGGUUCUGUGAAAAUUUUUACCUGGUUUUAUUUAUGUGUGACUUUAGUGAUUCAAAUUUUGUGCAUAUUUUAUUUGUUUCUUGCCAUUUUGGGGUUGGGCUGUGUUUUUAAGAUGUCCAAAUUUGUUAAAACACAUUGACAGGCAAAUGUUUUCUUGAUGGUUUUUGUUUUCAUUCAGUUUUAUGAGCUUUCAUUUUGAUGCUAGUAGUAGUGCUGAUGCAGGGGCCUGGAGGAGAAAAACUACCCUGAUAAGAAUGGAAGCACUGAUGAUAUUCCUUUUUCAAAUUUAUCACUAAAUGGAUGCUGCAAAACUUGAUCUAUCGCCAUUUCAUCCAAUUUUGUAGUGUCUUCUCAAUACUGCAUAUGUAAUUAAGAGUUAAUCGGGUAUUUUUAUAGAGUUUGUUAUUUCUUUCGUGCUUGGCAAUUUUUUCUGUGGGUUCACUUACGUGUCACCAAUGUUGGGCAUGACAUACCAAAAUGCUGUACAAGAGAAGUUACAAAUUCAAAUUCUUUCUUUCCUUUUUAGUGUUUGAUUACAAUAGGGUACUUGAUCGAUCAAUACAUUUAUUCGUGACAACUCAUGUUUGAGGUUCUUCAUUGCAUGUGCAUCACGGUAAGACUUUAUUUGCUUUCCAUAAGACUUCUAAUCAGAAGUAGAAUUUCAUUUCGCAUCGCAGCAACAGCAGCUGGAGUAAACCUGCUCCUUCAAAACAGAAAACCAUAGACCAUCUGUGUCUUUGUGGUCACAGCUUUCAUUCCAGUAGCAUAUGGGCCCUUGCAAUGGCUGUAACACAUAAGCUACGAUUACAACCAUUCACCUGCUGAGGUGAAUAAGGGUCUGUUUGGUUUAACUGU